GUUUGUGGACCUUCAGUCGUGACCAUUUUAAAAUCCUUGAACAUGCUGGUAGAUCUCAGAAGAGUAGCACUGUAGCAGCUACCAUCACAGACAUAGAAUGUCAUCUGUGGUAAUGGAUACAGGAAUGAGUGUUGAGAUCCAAGAAAAUAGUGAAUUUCUCGUACUACGUGCUACCACUCGACUCGAAAGUUUUCCUAUUUUUCCAUGAAAAUCAGCGAUGAUUAACAAUGAAUUCAAAGAAGGAACGCCAAAGGCAACUAGCCUAGACAAGUAGCCUACCAUAAAUUUUUUUCAUAAAAUUGUCGUUCAGCUGAAUGCUUCAUGCUGUUAAAACAGGUCAGUCACUACCCCAGUGUGGACACUUGUUUUUUUUUUAACAUGUUUUCUACAAAUAAUGCAUUGACAAACAAGUAUUGUUCUUGCUUCAAAAAUUUUUAACUUUUAUUUGAUGCCGUAAACUUUAUUUUUGCCUAGAGAAAGCUAUGGAAACAUAAUCAAGGCCAUGGGUAUCUUCAGGUUUAUUGCAGCAACUUUAGGGAAGUCACAUGAAAAGAUGCAGGGCACAUACCAACAUGUGUUGUAUUUAUCUGAAUUUUUUACUCAAGCAGUAGAUUCAACAUGACUGUUUGAUGCCAAAGUAAGUUAGUUGAAACUCUAACUAAAACACAGAUAACUGUUGAUGCUGCUGCCUUACAGUCACAGCCAGGAAAAUUAUUUAUUUCUACAGAAAAUUGUAAGUUUUAUUUUUUGUCUGGACCCCCCAUACCCCUAAUCUCAUCAGAUUAUUUUGUAUGUGAUGUGUAUCUGAUUAUCCAUUUCUCGUGAGUCGUGAUGUUAAGCCUCGGCAACAGAGUUCGGGUAGCAAUCCAUCCGUCCGUACAGUCUAAUGUGGUGACGCGAGUGUCUUCGUGAUGACGAAAUAUUAGCCAUUUGUUUCCGAGACGCUGACUGAAAGUGUAUUCCAAAUUCAUUACGGAAUUGCGGUGUCGAACUGUUGAUCUACAAUUUCAGACAUGAAAUGCAAUCUGGCAUAUAAUUUCACUUGGCCAAAUAAUGUCACGACGUGGGUCGAAACUGCUGUCCAUUUUGCCGAAAUGUCGGCCAUUGUUAGCUGUAUACCUAUUCGGCUGUACGUCUCAUCUCGUGCAGAAACACUUCAGAGCUGGUAAAUAUAGACACAGAGAUCUCUUUGCUCAACUGUUGCAGAAAUUGAAAACACAACAAAGUCAGAGAUUCAUGGCUGUCGUUCAUUAACAUGGUGUUGUUGCAGCCAGCUGGUGAAAGGUGUGAUCGAGUCAAGUUGAGGUGCAGCUGCUGCAUGCAGUUUAUCAAGCUGGUGUUAUCUGAAGUGUCAUUGCAGGAAGACUUCAUGAAUUGGAGUUUGUGGUUGGUUUGAUGUUUAUGGUGUUGCUGUUUGGUGUACAGUGGUUUUGCAGCCCCUUUCCAAUUGAGAGAUCCUCUGAAAUGGAGUUUGGUGCAGACUUGCAGUUUAACAUCACACUUAAAUGUUUCAUUUGCCUAUGUUGGUGUCUAUGCAGUGUUGAACAGUGGGGUAAAAUAGUCAAUGCUGCCUGAUGGCUGUCAGUCUUAUUUUAUCGGCUGGAUUUUGUCGAUAUGUCGUCUCUUGGUACCGGCGUUGAGUUUCAUCGUUUGCUGCCGUUCCAUAGACUUGAUCCAUUGGUAAAACUGAGGAGAGGUUGCUGAAAUUCAAGACUCGUCAAUAACUUAUGUAGAUGUAGAAAAAUUACAAGUGCAUAUCUGGGCUCCCUUCUUCAGUGGCCCCGUUUCCCUAAAUAACCACUAACCAACGCCCGCCGGUGGUCACUCACUCGCUGCGACAACCAGGAGGAAGGGAGAUGUUUGGUCGAACGGGGACUUGCAAGGCGCAUGAUUCGAUGAAAUCUGUUGGAGGGUCAUGAGUCUAAGCCGGAAGCCUACUAUGAUACACUGCUCUCAUAAUAACUGCUCCUCAGCUCUCUUCGCUCUUUUUCCGGUUUCUCUUAACCAUGGCCGGGUAAUCUCCCUGGUCGAGUCAGUCGGGCAGUGUCUCCCCCUGCUUGACUGGCAGCAGUUUGUUCCGGACGGUUUGUUUAAUAAAUA
rnacentral:lncRNA from 1 species